AACGGUGUAAAAAUUUCAUGGAAAAAACAAAAUAAAAUGCAAAGACAAAUACCAACACCAUCACCAUGGUGAUAACAGAUGAUGCUGAUUCAAUAUCUGCGACCAAUUCUAGCCAAAUAUUUGGAAAGCUGGACUCUACAACCUAUACUCUACAACUAAUACCGGAUAUUCUACAAACACAACCUCCAGCAAUGUAUCUAAGGAAUGUAAACUUCUACAGGCCUUUAAAGACUUUGGAUUACAAAUACAAUUACUACUUUUAGCUUUGGAUUACAAUUCGUAUCCAGAUCCAUCCAAGUAUAUCUUACUCUGGAACUUGGUGUUCUUUUCAAUUCUUUCCCAGACAAAAGCUUUGCUCAUUUUAAUCAACCACCUUUACAGGCAAAAAUCACACUACGGAUAUUUUACUGUUACAACAAUGAUCAAAGAUGCUGGGAGCACAAAAAAAACAAAAGACAGUUGGAGAACUUUG